rnacentral:rRNA from 1 species
UACCAGCACCCCGAGUGGUCGGGACGUUUAUUGGGCCUAAAGCAUCCGUAGCCGGUUCUACAAGUCUUCCGUUAAAUCCACCUGCUUAACAGAUGGGCUGCGGAGAUACUAUAGAGCUAGGAGGCGGGAGAGGCAAGCGGUACUCGAUGGGUAGGGGUAAAAUCCGUUGAUCCAUUGAAGACCACCAGUGGCGAAGGCGGCUUGCCAGAACGCGCUCGACGGUGAGGGAUGAAAGCUGGGGGAGCAAACCGG